UUGUCUAAUUUCUUGCUAUUAAUGAAACCAUAAAUUGAAUAGACUUUUAUAUGUGAAACAGUAGUCCCUCCAUUUAGCGCACAUCCUUUCAAGGAUACCCUUAUUAUGUGCCCUUGAGCAGACAACACAAACAUCACAAAAUUAAGACCAGUCCCUAAUCAAUAAAUCCCUUUAAAAAAACACCACCACCACAAUGUGGAUUUAUUUGGUACCUGUCUCACAUUAAAUAGAGGGUCUACUGUAAUGCAUGAUAUAUAAUGAUGGUUGCUUUUUAUACUUUCUAGUGGAAAGAUAAAAGAAACGAGAUUUACUUUAGUUUUCAACAGCUUAGUAAGACAGCCAUGUGAUUCUUGCUACACACUAAUGUUAGCCAUGUGCUACAAUGGGUUUCAAAGGCUGUGAUGUUUAGUUUGGGGGGAAUAACUUUUUCACAAAGCCUUAGAUAAGGAUGAUAAUUGGGCAAAGCAUGUAUCAGACCUUGCCUUUUUAUUUUUGUCAGUAUGAUUUAUUAACGAUGUGGAUAAUUAAAGCACUUAUAAGAGGCACUAUGAUAAAAAAAAUUCUCAGAUGAAGUGCUUUCUGUUGCAAGGCUAGUAAACUUGUCUGUGGAGACACUGCUCACAACAUUAAGCACUUCAUCUGCCUCUUAUAAGUACCUUAAUUAACAUGACAUUUCCAUGACUAUUUUCUUUUUAGCUUAAGUACUGCUUUGGAUAGAAAUUCUCCCUCCCCAAGACGUCUGUCCAUUCAGGUUUUUUUCUUUUUAGCUGGUAGUACUGCUUUGCAUAGAAUUUCUCCUUACCCAAGACAUCUGUCCAUUCAGGUUGAACAGCGCUGUCGACUAGCAGGGAAUGAAAAAGUUUAAAAGUUGAUGAGCAACAUAGUUACAAAGGGUAUAAGGAGACUUGCAGUUCACUUAUAUUCUUGUGUAUUCUUGCACAUCUAUUAAACUUUUUCUUGUUCCUUGCUGAUCUAGCACAGUAAUGUUCAAUCUUCUUGGACAGAUGUCUUGGUGAUUAGAACAAAACAAGGUCUACAAAGGCCUAAAAAACUGUACUAAGGCCUAAAAAACUGUACUAAGUCCAUAAUACCUCUCUAAGUCUCCGAAGAGAUACUGGAGCAUUUGGAAUCUAUUUAAUAAACAUACUAGUGUGUCCCCCAAGUUUAUUUUAAGACUAUCAUACAUAGUUCAUAGGAUAGUAAGCAAGCCAAACCAGCAAAAAAAAAAUUUCUCAAGUUGAUGAACAUUUCUUUUUUCCCUCUCCAAAUGGCUGAGCAGAUACCUCCUGAAGGUGUAUCUCUGGGUGCCUUCUGCUGCCAGUGCAGUGUCUGCAAGCCAUCGCUCUCUCCAUCCCAGCAGCAUCUUGUUGGAGGGUUGAGACACCUGACGCUGAUGGCCUGACGGAACAAACACUACUCAAGUCACAGUACGUAUAUCAAACCUGAAAACAGCAGAGACAAGUUUCAGCUGCAUUGGCAGUUGCUCUUCUCUUGCCUCCAAGGAACAUAACAGAUAAUUCUUAUAAGGCAGAAGUGCAUUUUGUCUGUAAAAGUGUUUAAUAAAUGUAUAUUGCUC